rnacentral:rRNA from 1 species
AACGAACGCUGGCGGCAGGCUUAACACAUGCAAGUCGAACGGUUGGAGCAGUACAGCACUGGCAGACGGGUGAGGAACACGUGUGAACCUUCCUAGAGGUACGGACCGACUGAGGCUAACUUGAGCUCAUAACGUAUACGACCGGGAGGAGAAAGAUUUAUCGCCCUUGGACGAGCCCGCGUCGGAUUAGCUAGUUGGUGGGGUAACGGCCUACCAAGGCGACGAUCCGUAGCUGAUCUUAGAGGAUGAUCAGCCACACUGGGACUGAGACACGGCCCAGACUCCUACGGGAGGCAGCAGUGGGGAAUCUUGGACAAUGGGCGCAAGCCUGAUCCAGCCAUGCCGCGUGAGUGAAGAAGGUCUUCGGAUUGUAAAGCUCUUUUGCCAGGGACGAUAAUGACGGUACCUGGAGAAUAAGCCCCGGCAAACUUCGUGCCAGCCGCCGCCGUAA